UACGUAGGGGGCAAGCGUUGUCCGGAUUUAUUGGGCGUAAAGAGCGUGUAGGCGGCCAGACAGGUCCGUUGUGAAAACUCGAGGCUCAACCUCGAGAUGUCGAUGGAAACCGUCUGGCUAGAGUCCGGAAGAGGAGUGUGGAAUUCCUGGUGUAGCGGUGAAAUGCGCAGAUAUCAGGAAGAACACCUAUGGCGAAGGCGGAUCUCUGGGCCUUACCUGACGCUGAGGCGCGAAAGCUAGGGGAGCGAACAGG
rnacentral:rRNA from 1 species